rnacentral:rRNA from 1 species
GACGAACGCUGGCGGCGUGCCUAACACAUGCAAGUCGAGCGAGAGACUUCGGUCUCUAGCGGCGGACGGGUGAGUAACACGUGGGUAACCUGCCUCAUAGUGGGGGAUAGCCUUCCGAAAGGAAGAUUAAUACCGCAUAUACUCUCGAUACCACAUGGUAUUUAGAGGAAAGGGGCGAUCCGCUAUGAGAUGGACCCGCGGCGCAUUAGCUAGUUGGUGAGGUAACGGCUCACCAAGGCGACGAUGCGUAGCCGACCUGAGAGGGUGAUCGGCCACAUUGGAACUGGGACGAGGGCCAGAGUCCUACGGGAGGCAGAAGUGGUGAAUAUUGCACAAUGGGCGAAAGCCUGAGGCAGCAACGCCGCGUGAGUGAUGACGGCCUUCGGGUUGUAAAGCUCUGUCUUUUGGGACGAUAAUGACGGUACCAAAGGAGGAAGCCACGGCUAACUACGUGCCAGCCGCCGCCGUAA